rnacentral:rRNA from 1 species
AAACUUAAAUGAAUUGAGGGGACCCGCACAAGCAGCGGAGCGUGUGGUUUAAUUCGUUGCUACACGAAGAACUUACCUGGGUUUGACAUAUAGGUUGUAGGGAACUGAAAGGGACCGACCCUUCGGGGAGCCUAUACAGGUGUUGCAUGGCUGUCGUCAGCUCGUGUCGUGAGAUGUUCGGUUAAGUCCGCUAACGAGCGCAACCCUCGUCGUAUGUUAUAUGUGUCAUACGAGACUGCCGGUAAAAGCCGGAGGAAGGUGAGGAUGAUGUCAAGUCAGCAUGACCUUUAUAUCCAGGGCUACACACACGCUACAAUGGUCUGUACAAUGGGUAGCCAAGCCGCGAGGCGGAGCCAAUCCUGAAAGCAGGCCUCAGUUCAGAUUGCAGUCUGCAACUCGACUCCAUGAAGUUGGAAUCGCUAGUAAUCGCGGAUCAGCAUGCCGCGGUCGAAUACGUUCCCGGGCCUU